AUAGUGAAUCCAUUCCAUUCCGAAGGCCUUUGAAGACUUCCAGUUAUUUGUAUAACUCAGUCAAUCUAGUCAGUUCCCAAUCAUUCAGCAUUCUUCUUCUAAGUAUCAGAUCCCAACCUUGAGGAGUCCACAUUGGCUUACCAUACAUAUCAGGGAAGAGUUCCAUCAAACUUCCAGAUCCCAACCAGUUAUCCUUCCAGAAGGAGGUUUUGGUGCCAUUUUUCACUUUGAUAUAGGGUUGGCUCUUCGUUG
rnacentral:lncRNA from 1 species